rnacentral:rRNA from 1 species
AGUGAACGCUGGCGGUAGGCUUAACACAUGCAAGUCGAACGGCAGCACAGUAAGAGCUUGCUCUUACGGGUGGCGAGUGGCGGACGGGUGAGGAAUACAUCGGAAUCUACUUUUUCGUGGGGGAUAACGUAGGGAAACUUACGCUAAUACCGCAUACGACCUACGGGUGAAAGCAGGGGAUCUUCGGACCUUGCGCGAUUGAAUGAGCCGAUGUCGGAUUAGCUAGUUGGCGGGGUAAAGGCCCACCAAGGCGACGAUCCGUAGCUGGUCUGAGAGGAUGAUCAGCGACACUGGAACUGAGACACGGUCCAGACUCCUACGGGAGGCAGCAGUGGGGAAUAUUGGACAAUGGGCGCAAGCCUGAUCCAGCCAUACCGCGUGGGUGAAGAAGGCCUUCGGGUUGUAAAGCCCUUUUGUUGGGAAAGAAAAGCAGCAGGUUAAUACCCCGCUGUUCUGACGGUACCCAAAGAAUAAGCACCGGCUAACUUCGUG